UACGUAGGCGGAAAAUUAAGUCAGUAGUGAAAUCUCGCAGCUUAACUGUGGAACUGUUAUUGAUACUGGUUUUCUUGAAUAUAGUUGAGGUAGGCGGAAUGUGUAAUGUAGCGGUGAAAUGCUUAGAUAUUACACAGAACACCGAUUGCGAAGGCAGCUUACUAAGCUAUGAUUGACGCUGGGGUACGAAAGCGUGGGGAGCGAACAGGAUUAGAUACCCUGGUAGUCC
rnacentral:rRNA from 1 species